GAUGAACGCUGGCGGCGUGCCUAAUACAUGCAAGUCGAGCGAACGGACGAGAAGCUUGCUUCUCUGAUGUUAGCGGCGGACGGGUGAGUAACACGUGGAUAACCUACCUAUAAGACUGGGAUAACUUCGGGAAACCGGAGCUAAUACCGGAUAAUAUUUUGAACCGCAUGGUUCAAAAGUGAAAGACGGUCUUGCUGUCACUUAUAGAUGGAUCCGCGCUGCAUUAGCUAGUUGGUAAGGUAACGGCUUACCAAGGCAACGAUGCAUAGCCGACCUGAGAGGGUGAUCGGCCACACUGGAACUGAGGCACGGUCCAGACUCCUACGGGAGGCAGCAGUAGGGAAUCUUCCGCAAUGGGCGAAAGCCUGACGGAGCAACGCCGCGUGAGUGAUGAAGGUCUUCGGAUCGUAAAGCUCUGUUAUUAGGGAAGAACAUAUGUGUAAGUAACUGUGCACAUCUUGACGGUACCUAAUCAGAAAGCCACGGCUAACUACGUG
rnacentral:rRNA from 1 species